rnacentral:tRNA from 1 species
GGGCUCGUGGUCUAGCAAUUGAAUAAGAAUAACCGUUUUUAUCCAACUAGAAUGGAUUAUGAUCCCCGCCCGGGGCGCGGGAGAUCCUGGGUUCAAAUCCCAGCGAGCCCA